UGUCCUCCGGUUCCGGCGGCGGGGCCUGCUGCUGCUGGUACUGGUAGUCGGCGGCGACAGGCGGCGGAGCGCCGUACCCUGGAGGAGGUGGGUAGGCCUCCUGGCCCGGCGGCGGGUACGCGGUGCCCGGUGGCGGGUAGCUCAUGGUCGACGCGGCGGUCGAAAUCGCAGAGAGAAGCGCAAGACAGCAGUAGAAAUAGUGCAGUGGCGAUUGCUGUGCAGGUGCAGGUGCUCUCUGCUCUCGAGCUUGUGAUAUUCUUCUACUGGAGCAUGGCGACUCUUUAUAUAGUGUCUGACACCAUGAGGGGUUACAUUGCUUAGCCGCGUAAACCUAAGGCGGUUGCACACACAUCCAAAUUUCAAAGGGUCGCCGGUCCGGCGAUCACACGGAUGCAUCGAUCCGCGCACGGCGGCGACUGCGGGCUUCAUUUACUCCGAAACGCGUUGUUGGAAACUUGAAAUGCGUCACUCGGAAGGAGAGAGAUCGGUCCACAUUUGCGUGUGUUCACGUACUCUCUAGUCUCCCAACGUCUGCUAGCUAGCUGGUUCCCAUUUGGAUGUUGCCGGACUGGACUCGGUUCCAUCGGGUUCUGUACUGCUUAGACGAGAAGUUCCAAAGGAAUCGGGUUCCGUAGUUGGUGACGGUUGAUUUAUGCUCCGAGUUUGCCAAACUUUUCUUUGAGUUUACUAUAGUCCUUAUAUUUUCGAUCAAAUUCCAAUUAUCAGUUUGAGUAAUAAAACAUAAGUUACAUGUAACAAAGAUAGUACUCCCUCCAUCACAGUAUAUUGGAAGUAUCUCCAAAACGAUAAUUUUUCAUAAUUAGAAAGAAAUAAGACGCAUGAUAUUAAUUAGCCUAUUAAUUGGGGUGUUUUAAAAACCGUCUUCACCAAUGCAUGCGAGGAACUCACUUGUUUAAUGGACGGGGGGUUACUAAUGCGUCAGUUUUGCGAUUAAUUAGGCGCUUCUACAGCUCGUCGACUCGGUUUUUCCUACCAAUAAAAAAACAUCUAGGUCUUAGAGCCCCGUAAGAUUCGCCCAAUAUACUGUAAUGAAGGGAGUAUGUAUUACCUCUCUUAGACUAAUCAAGUCAAAGCUCGAGAACCGAGAGGGCUCCUUGGAUUGCUCCCUCCACAGCGAUCAGGGGCCAACCCAGGGCCCCGUCCGCCGCCCCCUCCCCCCUCUCCCCCGCCUCGUCGUCCCUAGAGACGUGCGCCGGCUAAGCCCGGACACAACCGAUGAUGAGGAUGGCGCGGUCUAGGUUGCAGCACCAAGGUCUAAAGGGAUCGACGAUGCGAGAUCGUCCUUCGGUCUUCGUCUUUCUUGGCAGUUUGGCGCUGCUCCGGCGACUUCAUGGAGAGGGCGGAUCAGGAGGGGAUAUGGCCAUGGUUGAUUGGUCGGGGGCGCCUCCGAUCAGAUUUAAUUUGGCUGAUGCCACUAGCGGUUGUGCCCAUCUCCUCUGCUGGAGGUGGUCGGCCUGAGGCUUGAUGGUCAGAUCUCGAGAUCCGUCAUCGAGUUCCGGUUGCGAGUCGGGAAAACAUAGUUGAAGGUGAAAACCGAGUCGAUGGCAGACGAUGACGGUGUUCUGUGUCGUUACCUUGAUGAUGGCGUCGUCGUCGACUCAGUCGGGCUACUCCGGGGGAAACCCAAGGGUCUGGUCUUCCAGAUCGGAUGAUGACGGUACCGUUGUGUCGUUUUCUAUCUUGGGAGCAUCAUUUGUGGAGUAGAGGUGAAAGACAGAGGUAGGAGGUGAAGCGGCUUCAUCUUGCAUGGAGCUUUCGAUGGACAUGUCAAGUCAUGCCUGACCGAUAGGUCCUACGUUGUGCCAUGAGCUAGUCGGCAGGUGCUAUGCAUGACAGAUCUUCUAUAAGCUUCGCGUCUGGACGGACGAGCACGGGGCGGUGGCGCCGUCGGGCGCCAUGGUGGCGUCGACGGAUGGAGGGACUGUUAAGAAGGAUGCAGAUCUCUCUUCUGAAGAUGGUUCAGCGGUUUGAUGAUGAGGACGACGUCUAAAACGUGUGCAUGUGAUGUACGCUCUAGAUGUGUUGCACCGGUUAUGGUUUUCGAUAUGUUAUGUGGAUGGAUUAAUGACGACACCAAUUUUAUAUAUGAAAAGAGAGCAGUAGCGGAGCCAGCAGGAACACACGCCCGAGCCCACCUUCAGUAUGAAUAGUAGCUACAGUGGUAGAAAAUGGUACAGUACGAACAGUUAACAAAGGAUUUGGCUGCUGACUGGGGCGUGUCUCCGUCGCUGGAAGUGAGAUCACUUCACAUUAUCGAGUUUGUAUAGAUGCGAGUGGUGACUUCGGGUCAUUUAAUGUAUGUUCUUGUUAGACAUAGUUAAAUAAUAAAUAAAAUUGAUCGUAUGCAUCGAUUGAUGCAGAGGUCAGAUGUUUUAACCUUCUUUUAUAAAAAAAUCUUUCUAAAAAAAAUGUAAACCUUUUAGAUAAUUAGGUCUUAUAUUGCAGAGAAAGUAUCAUUAAAACUUCUAUUGAAUAUAAAUCCAAUUAUAGAAUUACGGGUCCGAAUAUCGAACGUGAGAUGGGAAGGUUCCUCUUCGCGAUCGAUUCGUGUGCCAGGGAGGAUCAGUCCUAUUUAUUGUGCGGGUCUCUAGGCAGGGAGCAAACACACACCCUGUUGAGUGUUGAUUCACAAUGACAGAUAUCGACUGACCCAUGUAGAUUUUUGAGAGAUCCGGUAUUCUAGUCUUCGUUUUCAAAUUCGUUUCCCCUUGCUUUUCAUCAUGAUCAUUUUUAUAUCUUGAACGAUUAUUUGUAUAGUGGACAACUUUUGAAAUUGUGAACUUUUUUCAUAAUCAUGAAUAGUUUUCAAAUUCACAAAAAAAUUGAGUUCACUAAAAUAAUUCAAGUACUCAAUUUUUUUAAAUUCAUGAAUAGUUUUUGAACUUACAAAUACAUUUGUAUUAACAAACAAUUUCUGUAUUCAUGAACUUUUUAGAAAUUGCAAACAAUUUUUGAACUUGUGAACUUUCUUUUUGGAGUCCCAAAUAAUUUUUGCAAUAUUUAUUUAUUCCAGUGCUAUUUGUUUUGAAAUUCAAGACCAUUUUUUGAAAUCCUCACUGUUUUUGAAAUUUCAUAAUAUUUUUCAAAAUCAGAAACUUUUAGUUUUUGUAAAAAUCUCAAACAUAAAUUUGCAAAUUUGGGAUUAGGGAAUAGUUCUUGAAUCAAAAAAGAAACAAAAAGAGAAAAACGAAAAAUAAACAAGGGUACCCAGCCCACACAUGGGGCCGAUCCAAAAUGCACGCGCGGGGGGAGGGGGGGGGCAAGCUGGCGCUGGUUUGGUGGCUAUUUGACCUACUCCCUCUGUUCAUAAAUAAGUGUACAUAUAGAUUUGUACUUAGUCAAAAAAUUUAAAAUUUGACCAACUUUAUAAAAAAUAGUAGCAACAUAUAUAACAUGAAAAUUAUAUAUUUAGAAACUUCCUGUAAAGACAAAUCUAUUGAUACUUAUUUGAUGUCAUAAAUGCUAGCAUUUUUUUCAAUAAAGUUAGUCAAAGUUUAACUAGUUUGACUGACAGAAAAGAAAAAAAUACACUUAUUAACGAACGGUGGGAGUACGCAGCAAAUAGGAGCUCCCUAAGAGUCUCUAUAUGACGCUAAGCGCGUUGAACAACGCUCGCGACGCAUAAGGUCAAUGACUAGGCCAGCUAAUUGGUAGCUAACUUUUUUAAAUAAUUCAUUUUUUUUAUUGUUUUUGAAAAAUAUCACGUUAUUUUUUUAAAUGUAGUCCUGUCGGCCUAGCCAAGAUCAAUUAGUCCAUGUCGGUUAUGGCUAGGCCGACAAGCCUGUCGGCUUUGCAUGCGGGCUCCUAUUGGCCUUGGCUAGGCCGAUUAGUACUAAUUGGCCUAGCCGUAACCAAUUAGUAUAAAUCGGCCUAUCCGUGACCAAUUAGUACUAAUUGAUAUUGGCAAAGCCAAUAAAUACAUGAAUUUUUUGCCAUGCAAUGCAUAAUUUUUUAUGUCCACGAUAUUAAAAUUGUACCUCUAUAAAUUUUUCCGCCCUUUCUUUCCUGCCUCAAUUUCCCGCCAUUUUCUUUCCCACCUUGUUUUCCGCCAUUUUUUUCUGCCUCGUUUCCUGCCAUUUCUUUCCUACCUUCACUAAAUCAGACAUCUCUGGUGAUCUAAAAAAUUAUUUAACAACGACAAAUUUUAGAAAAAGGACAAAACUAAUUUUUUUUUUCGGAUCAACUAAAAAUUACAAGACUUAAAUAUAUUUCCUAAAUCUACCGGAGCACUUAAAGUAAUUAAACAACUUAACUGACAUUUUUGGAAUCAAUUAAAAUUGGAAGACCUAAAUAUAUUUUCCAAAUCUAUCAGAGCAGCUAAAAUUAAUUAAACAACUUAAUUGACAUUUUCCGAAUCAACUACAAAUCAGAAGACCUAAAUAUAUUUCCCAAAUAUACCAGAGCUCCUAAAAAUUAUUUAACAACGCAACGGAAACAAAUGUUGAAUUUUACCCUUGAAGCGUGCGAAGAAACGAUGAAUGACGAACGACGAACACCACCACCUCCAACUUCACCCACACUCCACCACCACCACCACACCACCACCUCCACCUCAACCUCCACAACCACCACCUCGACCUCAACCUCCACCAUCACCACCAAAAAAUGGUCAACACAACCACCGCGAACCACCCCAUCAUGCACUGGCGGAGCUUCUCGGUGGGCAAGGUAUGGCAAGUGCCAUACCUUGAUUUGGAGGGAAAAAAUAGUACUAGUAGGCUAAAUGGCUAAUCACUAAUGACCAAAAGAGGCCAGCGUGGAUACCUGGUGCGUGCCUGGGAACCAGCCCAACACAUCGCUGCUUCCUCCCCGUUUUCUCCAUCGCGACCCAGUCUUGGCCACCAGCCCACCACGACGCACUCCCCACCCCACGCAGACUCGCACAGCAAACCCUAGGCGGCGGCUGAACUAGUGGCUAGGCGUGUUGCCGACUCGGUUGGGCGUGUUGCCGGCCCGGCUGCGUGUAGGNAUCUAGCAAAUCCAAAGAAAAGAGGAAGAGGUAGUCUUUCAUUUUUCUGAAAUUCGAAGUGGUUGGUACUUGGUAGUGGGAGCAGAUUGUAUUGAAACAUUGUUGUGAUUGCAGAUUUAAAAAAGUAUUUUCAAGUGCUUGGUGGUGGCAGCAGCUCAAAAUCAAAUCCAAGCACCCGUGAAAGUGUCAAUAUUUCAGCACAUGACUAUGAUCAAAAUCAAGUUAUUUCCAUGGAAGUGGAACAAACUAGAAAUUUCGUUGAAGCUAUAGUGGAAGAGAAUGUAGAAGUUCACGGGGUUGAAGGUAUAACUAUUUUUAGUGAAGAUUACAUAAAUGGUGAUCCAGGACUUCGCAUUCCACUUGAUUGUUUUGCCCCCAACAUUAGAGAUGAUGUUAGAUUUGCUUAUAUACGAAUGGGUGCAACUCAACCAGCAAGUUGCAUUUCCCCCCCAAAUAGAGAUGGAAGAUGCUUCCGACCACAAUGGUAUAAAGACUUUGCUUGCUUGGAAUAUAGUGUAACAAAGCAUAAGGCUUAUUGCUUCUCUUGUUUUAUUUUCAAGCAUGACCGAAUGGAUGAUAAAUUUGGGCAUGAUGUCUUCUCCAAAUUUGGUUUUGACUGUUGGAAAAAUGGAGUUGCAGCAUUUCAUAAACAUGUUGGUGGACCUUGUCAAACAUUGUGCAAACGCAGUCACCAAAGUAAUCAAAGAAGAGACGGGUGACUGCCUUUUCUCUAUUCUAGAGGCAAUAAUAAAAUCGUUAUUAUCAUAUUUCCUUGUUCAUGAUAAUCGUCUAUUGUUCAUGCUAUAAUUGUAUUAACAGGAAAUAGUAAUACAUCUGUGAAUAAAUAGAUCACAAAGUGUCCCUAGCAAGCCUCUAGUUGGCUAGCUCGUUAGUCAAUAGAUGAUCAUGGUUUCCUGAUCAUGGGCAUUAGAUGUCAUUGAUAACGGGAUCACAUCAUUAGGAGAAUGAUGUGAUGGACAAGACCCAAUCCUAAGCAUAGCACUAGAUCGUAUUGUUCGUAUGCUAAAGCUUUUCUAAUGUCAAGUAUCUUUUCCUUCGACCGUGAGAUUGUGCAACUCCCGGAUACCGUAGGAGUGCUUUGGGUGUAUCAAACGUCACAACGUAACUGGGUGACUAUAAAGGUGCACUACGGGUACCUCCGAAAGUGUCUGUUGGGUUGGUACGAAUCGAGAUCGGGAUUUGUCACUCCGUGUGACGGAGAGGUAUCUCUGGGCCCACUCGGUAGAACAUCAUCAUGAGCUCAAUGUGACUAAGGAGUUAGUCACACAAUGACGUGCUACGGAACGAGUAAAGAGACUUACCGGUAAUGAGAUUGAACAAGGUAUAGGUAUACCAACGAUCGAAUCUCGGGCAAGUUCUAUACCGACAGACAAAGGGAAUCGUAUACGGGAUUAAUUGAAUCCUUGACAUCGUGGUUCAUCCGAUGAGAUCAUCGUGGAGCAAGUGGGAGCCACCAUGGGUAUCCAGACCCCGCUGAUGGUUAUUAGUCGGAGAGGCGUCUCGGUCAUGUCUGCCUGUCUCCCGAACCCGUAGGGUCUACACACUUAAGGUUCGAUGACGCUAGGGUUAUAGGGAAUUGUUAUACGAGGUUACCAAAAGUUGUUCGGAGUCCCGGAUGAGAUCCCGGACGUCACGAGGAGCUCCGGAAUGGUCCGGAGGAAAAGAUUGGUAUAUAGGACGGAUGGUUUCGGAUACCGGAAGUGUUUCGGGCAUCACCGGUAACGUACCGGGACCACCGGGACCACCGGAGGUGGCCCCGGGGGUCCACCGAAGGGGGGCAACGACCCCGGGAAGUAAGGUGGGCCAAGUGGGGAAGGGAACCAGCCCCUAGGUGGGCUGGAGCACCUCCCCACUCAGCCCAAUGCGUGGGGGAGAGAAAAGGGGGGGGAGCAAACCCUAAGCCAGGUGGGCCUAAGGCCCACCAGGUGGUGCGCCACCCCCUCCCCACCCUAGCCGCCGCCCCCCUUUCCCAUCUGGUGGCCGCCGGUCCCUAGGGAGGGAACCAUAGGGGUGGCGCAGCCCCUCCCCCUCCUCCUAUAAAUAGAGAGGGGUUUUGGCCCUUGGGAGAUAGACUUCUCCCUCUCCCUCGGCGCAGCCCUGCCCGGGGGUCUCUGCCGGUGCUUGGCGAAGCCCUGCCGGGAGACCUCGUCUCUCCGUCGACACCACGCCGUCGUGCUGCUGGAGUUCUUCCCCAACCUCUUCCUCCUCCUUGCUGGAUCAAGGUGCGGGAGACGUCACCGGGCUGCACGUGUGUUGAACGCGGAGGUGCCGUAGUUCGGCACUAGAUCGGAAUCACACCGCGAUCCGAAUCGCUGCGAGUACGACUCCAUCAACCGCGUUCUAGUAACGCUUCCGCUUAGCGAUCUUCAAAGGUAUGAAGAUGCUCUUACCCCUCUCUCGUUGCUGGUCUCUCCAUGGGAAGAUCUGAAUAUGCGUAGGAAAAUUCUGAAUUUAUGCUACGUUACCCAACAGUGGCAUCCGAGCCAGGUUUUCUAUGCGUAGAUUCUAUGCACGAGUAGAACACAAAAGUUGUGGGCGAUGAUUUGUCAAUUUGCUUGCCUCUACUAGUCUUAUUCUUUUCCGGCGGUAUUUUGGGAUGAAGCGGCCCGGACCGACUUUACACGUACGCUUACGUGAGACUGGUUCCACCGACAGACAUGCACACCAUGCAUAAAGGUGGCUAGCGGGUGUCUGUCUCUCCUACUCUAGUCGGAUUGGAUUUGAUGAAAAGGGUCCUUACGAAGGGUAAAUAGCUUUGGCAUAUCAUCGUUGUGGCUGUCACGUAGGUAAGAAGGCGUUCUUGCUAGAAACCCAAUCAGCCACGUAAAACUUGCAACAACAAUUAGAGGACGUCUAACUUGUUUUUGCAGGGUUUGACAUGUGAUGUGAUAUGGCCAAAGUUGUGAUGUUGCAUGUAUGAUGUAUGAGAUGAUCAUGUUAUUGUAAUAGGUUUCACGACUUGCAUGUCGAUGAGUAUGACAACUGGCAGGAGCCAUAGGAGUUGUCUUAAUUUAUUGUAUGAGAUGCAACGCCAUGUGCUUACUACUUUUACUUCAUUGCUAACGGUUAGCUAUAAUAGUAGUGAUAGUAGUAGUUGGCGUGACGACUUCACGGAGACACGAUGAUGGAGAUCAUGAUGAUGGAGAUCAUGGUGUCACGCUGGUGACGAUGAUGAUCAUGCGAUGCCCGAAGAUGGAGACCGAAAGGGCGAAGAUGAUAAUGGCCAUAUCAUGUCACUAUAUGAUUGCAUUGUGAUGUUUAUCAUGUUUUACAUCUUAUUGCUUAGAACGACGGUAGCAUAAUAAGAUGAUCCCUCUUAAAAUUUCGAGAACGUAUUCCCCUAAGUGUGCACCGUUGCGAAGGUUCGUUGUCUCGAAGCACCACGUGAUGAUCGGGUGUGAUAGAUUCUAACGUUCGCAUACAACGGGUGUAAGCCAGAUUUACACACGCGAAACACCUAGGUUGACUCGACGAGCUUAGCAUGUACAAACAUGACCUCGAAUACAAGAGACCGAAAGGUCGAACAUGAGUCGUAUGGUUGAAUACGAUCAGCAUGAAGUUGCUCACCAUGGUGACUAGUCCGUCUCACGUGAUGAUCGGUCACGGGUUAGUCAACAUGGAUCAUGUAACACUUAGAUGACUAGAGGGAUGUCGAUUUAAGUGGGAGUUCAUACUUAAUUUGAUUAAAUGAACUUAAUUGUCAUGAACUUAGUCUAAAAGUUGUCUUUAUAAAUAUUGUAGAUGGCCAACGUCAACCUCAAUUUCAACGCAUUCCUAGAGAAAAACAAGCUGAAAGAUGAUGGUAGCAACUAUGCGGACUGGGUUCGCAACUUGAAGCUCAUCCUUGAAGCAGCUAAAAAGGCUUAUGUCCUUGAUGCGCCGCUAGGUGACCCUCCCGCUCCCGCAGCAGCCCAGGACAUUCUGAACGUCUGGCAAACGCGGAGUGAUGACUACUCUCUGGUUAGGUGUGGCAUGUUAUACAGUUUAGAAACGGGGCUCCAAAGGCGUUUUGAGCAACACGGGGCAUAUGAGAUGUUCCAGGAGCUGAAGCUAGUUUUUCAAGCUCAUGCCCGUGUCGAGAGAUGUGAAGUCUCCGACAAGUUCUUUAGCUGUAAGAUGGAGGAGAACAGUUCUGUUAGUUAGCACAUACUCAAAAUGUCUGGGUUACACGGUCGUCUGACUUCACUUGGAGUCGAACUUCCGGAUGAUGCUAUAAUUGACAGAAUCCUCCAGUCUCUCCCACCAAGCUACAAAGGCUUUGUGCUUAACUACAACAUGCAAGGGAUGGAAAAGACCAUUCCCGAGUUGUACUCGAUGCUCAAGUCUGUAGAAGUAGAAAUCAAGAAAGAGCAUCAAGUGUUGAUGGUCAACAAGACCACUAGUUUCAAGAAAGGCAAGGGUAAGAAGAACUUCAAGAAAGCCGGCAAAGCUGUUGCCGCGCCCGGUAAGCCAGAUGCCGGGAAGAAGAAAAAGAAUGGACCCAAGCCUGAGACUGAGUGCUUCUAUUGCAAGGGAAAAGGUCACUGGAAGCGGAACUGCCCCAAAUACUUAGCGGACAAGAAGGCCGACAACGUUAAAGGUAUAUGUGAUAUACAUGUUAUUGAUGUGUACCUUACCAGCGCUCGUAGUAGCUCUUGGGUAUUUGAUACCGGUGUUGUUGCUCACAUUUGCAACUCAAAGCAGGAACUACGGAAUAAGCGGAGACUGGCCAAGGACGAGGUGACGAUGCACGUCGGGAAUGGUUCCAAGGUCCAUGUAAUCGCCGUCGGCACGCUCCCUCUACAUCUACCGUCGAGAUUAGUUUUAAACGUUAAUAAUUGUUAUUUAGUACCAGCUUUGAGCAUGAAUAUUGUAUCAGGGUCUUGCUUAAUGCGAGACGGCUACUGAUUUAAGUCAGAGAAUAAUGGUUGUUCUAUUUAUAUGAGUGAUAUGUUUUAUGGUCAUGCUCCGCUGGUGAAUGGUUUAUUCUUGAUGAAUCUCGAUCGUGAUGUUACACAUAUUCAUAGUGUGAGUACCAAAAAAUGUAAAGUUGAUAAUGAUAGUCCCACAUACUUGUGGCACUGCCGCCUUGGUCAUAUCGGCGUUAAGCGCAUGAAGAAGCUCCAUACUGAUGGACUAUUAGAGUCUCUUGACUUUGAAUCAUUUGACACAUGCGAACCGUGCCUCAUGGGCAAGAUGACUAAGACUCCAUUCUCAGGACUAAUGGAGAGAGCAACCGACUUAUUGGAAAUAAUACACACUGAUGUGUGUGGUCCGAUGAACGUUGAAGCUCGCGGUGGCUAUCAUUAUGUUCUCACUCUCACCGAUGAUUUGAGUAGGUAUGGGUAUAUCUACUUAAUGAAGCACAAAUCUGAGACGUUUGAAAAGUUCAAGGAAUUUCAGAGUGAGGUUGAGAAUCAACGUGACAGAAAAAUUAAAUGUCUGCGAUCUGAUCGUGGAGGAGAAUAUUUGAGUCACGAGUUUGGCACACACCUAAGGAAGUGUGGAAUCGUUUCACAACUGACGCCGCCUGGCACACCGCAACGCAACGGAGUGUCUGAACGUCGUAAUCGCACUUUAUUAGAUAUGGUACGAUCUAUGAUGUCUCUUACCGACUUACCGCUAUCAUUUUGGGGAUACGCAUUAGAAACAACAGCAUUCGCUUUAAAUAGGGCACCGUCUAAAUCCGUUGAGACGACAUCGUAUGAACUAUGGUUUGACAAGAAACCUAAGUUGUCGUUUCUUAAAGUUUGGGGCUGCUAUGCUUAUGUGAAGAAACUUCAACAAGAAAAUCUCGAACCCAAAGCGGAGAAAUGCGUAUUCAUAGGAUACCCUAAGGAAACUAUUGGGUAUACCUUCUAUCUUAGAUCCGAAGGUAAGACCUUUGUUGCCAAGAACGGAUCCUUUCUAGAGAAAGAGUUUCUCUCGAAAGAAGUAAGUGGGAGGAAGGUAGAACUUGAUGAGGUAAUUACACCCCCUCUCGAACAGGAUAGUAGCGCAGCGCGGGAAGUUGUUCCUGUGGUGCCUACACCAACUGAAGAGGAAGUUAAUGAUGAUGAUCAUGAAGCUUCGGAUCAAGUUACUACUGAACCGCGAAAGUCCACAAGGGCACGCUCGGCACCAGAAUGGUACGGCAACCCUGUGAUGGAAAUCAUGUUGUUAGACAACGGUGAACCUUCGAACUAUGAAGAAGCGAUGGCGGGCCCGGAUUCCAACAAAUGGCUUGAGGCUAUGAAAUCCGAGAUAGGGUCCAUGUAUGAGAACAAAGUAUGGACUUUGGUGGACUUGCCCAAUGACCGGCGAGCUAUAGAAAAUAAAUGGAUCUUCAAGAAGAAGACUGAUGCAAACGGUAAUGUAACGUUUACAAAGCUCGACUUGUCGCAAAGGGUUUUCGACAAAUUCAAGGAGUUGACUACGAAGAGACUUUCUCUCCCGUAGCGAAGCUGAAAUCAGUCCGAAUCAUGUUAGUAAUUGCCGCCUUUUAUGAUUAUGAAAUUUGGCAAAUGGACGUCAAAACAGCGUUCCUUAACGGGAACCUUAAGGAAGAGUUGUAUAUGAUGCAACCAGAAGGUUUUGUCGACCCUAAGGGUGCUAACAAAGUGUGCAAGCUCCAGCGCUCCAUCUAUGGGCUGGUGCAAGCAUCUCGGAGUUGGAACAUUCGCUUUAAUGAGGUGAUUAAAGCGUUUGGGUUCAUACAGGUUUACGGAGAAGCCUGUCUGUACAAGAAAGUGAGUGGGAGCUCUGUAGCUUUCCUCAUACUGUAUGUGGAUGACAUAUUAUUGAUGGGGAAUAAUAUAGGGAUGUUGGAGAGCAUAAAGGCCUAUUUGAACAAAAGUUUUUCAAUGAAGGACCUUGGAGAAGCUUCAUACAUAUUAGGCAUCAAGAUCUAUAGAGAUAGAUCAAGACGUCUCAUAGGUCUUUCGCAAAGUACAUACCUUGACAAGAUAUUGAAGAAGUUCAAUAUGGAAAACUCAAAGAAAGGGUUCUUGCCAGUUUUGCAAGGUAUGAGAUUGAGUAAGACUCAGUCGCCGACCACGGCAGCAGAUAGAGAGAAGAUGAGUUUUGUCCCCUACGCUUCAGCCGUGGGCUCUCUAAUGUAUGCCAUGCUGUGUACCAGACCUGAUAUAAACCUUGCCAUAAGUUUGGUAGGGAGGUACCAAAGUGAUCCCGGUAUGGAACACUGGACAUCGGUCAAGAAUAUCUUUAAGUAUCUGAAAAGGACUAAGGAAAUGUUUCUCGUUUAUGGAGGUGACAAAGAGCUCGUCGUAAAGGGUUACGUCAAUGCCAGCUUCGACACAGAUCCGGAUGACUCUAAGUCACAGACCGGAUACGUAUAUGUGUUGAAUGGUGGGGCGGUGAGCUGGUGCAGCAGCAAGCAAGAAGUCGUGGCAGCAUCUACAUGUGAAGCGGAGUACAUAGCUGCUUCAGAAGCAGCUCAUGAAGGAAUUUGGAUGAAGGAGCUCAUCACCGACCUUGGAGUGGUUCCAAGCGCGUCGGGUCCAAUGACACUCUUCUGUGAUAACACUAGGCCAUUGCCAUAGCCAAGGAGCCCAGGUUUCACCGGAAGACGAAGCACAUCAAACGCCGCUACAACUCCAUCCAGGACCAUGUCCAGAGUGGAGUGAUAUAUAUUUGUAAAGUACACACGGAUCUGAAUAUUGCAGACCCGUUGACUAAACCUCUUCCACGAGCAAAACAUGAUCAACACCAUCAUGGUAUGGGUGUUCGAUACAUCACAAUGUAACUAGAUUAUUGACUCUAGUGCAAGUGGGAGACUGUUGGAAAUAUGCCCUAGAGGCAAUAAUAAAAUCGUUAUUAUCAUAUCUCCUUGUUCAUGAUAAUCGUCUAUUGUUCAUGCUAUAAUUGUAUUAACAGGAAACAAUAAUACAUGUGUGAAUAAAUAGAUCACAAAGUGUCAUAGCAAGCCUCUAGUUGGCUAACUCAUUAGUCAAUAGAUGAUCAUGGUUUCUUGAUCAUGGGCAUUAGAUGUCAUUGAUAACGGGAUCACAUCAUUAGGAGAAUGAUGUGAUGGACAAGACCCAAUCCUAAGAAUAGCACUAGAUCGUAUUGUUCGUAUGCUAAAGCUUUUCUAAUGUCAAGUAUCUUUUCCUUCGACCGUGAGAUUGUGCAACUCCCGGAUACCGUAGGAGUGCUUUGGGUGUAUCAAACGUCACAACGUAACUGGGUGACUAUAAAGGUGCACUACGGGUACCUCCGAAAGUGUGUGUUGGGUUGGUACGAAUCGAGAUCGGGAUUUGUCACUCCGUGUGACGGAGAAGUAUGUCUGGGCCCACUCGGUAGAACAUCAUCAUGAGCUCAAUGUGACUAAGGAGUUAGUCACACGAUGACGUGCUACGGAACGAGUAAAGAGACUUACCGGUAACAAGAUUGAACAAGGUAUAGGUAUACCGAUGAUCGAAUCUCGGGCAAGUUCUAUACCGACAGACAAAGGGAAUCGUAUACGGGAUUAAUUGAAACCUUGACAUCGUGGUUCAUCCGAUGAGAUCAUCGUGGAGCAAGUGGGAGCCACCAUGGGUAUCCAGACCCCGCUGAUGGUUAUUAGCCGGAGAGGCGUCUCGGUCAUGUCUGCCUGUUUCCCGAACCCGUAGGGUCUACACACUUAAGGUUCGAUGACGCUAGGGUUAUAGGGAAUUGUUAUACGAGGUUACCGAAAGUUGUUCGGAGUCCCGCAUGAGAUCCCGGAUGUCAAGAGGAGCUCCGGAAUGGUCCGGAGGUAAAGAUUGAUAUAUAGGACGGAUGGUUUCGCAUACCGGAAGUGUUUCGGGCAUCACCGGUAACAUACCGGGACCACCGGGACCACCGGAGGUGGCCCCAGGGGUCCACCGAAGGGGGCAACGACCCCGGGAGGUAAGGUGGCCCAAGUGCGGAAGGGAACCAGCCCCUAUGUGGGCUGGUGCGCCUCCCCACUCAGCCCAAUGCGUGGGGGGGAGAAAAGGGGGGGCAAACCCUAAGCUAGGUGGGCCUAAGGCCCACCAGGUAGUGCGCCACCCCCUCCCCACCCUAGCCGCCGCCCCCCUUUCCCAUCUGGUGGCUGCCGGUCCCUAGGGAGGGAACCCUAGGGGUGGCGCAACCCCUCCCCCUCCUCCUAUAAAUAGAGAGGGGUUUUGGCCCUUGGGAGAUGGACUUCUCCCUCUCCCUCGGCGCAGCCCUGCCCUUCUUUCUCCUCCUCUCUGUCGGUGCUUGGCGAAGCCCUGCCGGGAGACCUCGUCUCUCCAUCGACACCACGCCGUUGUGGUGCUGGAGUUCUUCCCCAACCUCUCCCUCCUCCUUGCUGGAUCAAGGUGCGCGAGACGUCACUGGGCUGCACGUGUGUUGAACGCGGAGGUGUCGUAGUUCGGCACUAGAUCAGAAUCACACCGCGAUCCGAAUCGCUGCGAGUACGACUCCAUCAACCGCAUUCUAGUAAAUCUUCCGCUUAGCGAUCUUCAAAGGUAUGAAGAUGCUCUUACCCCUCUCUCGUUGCUGGUCUCUCCAUAGGAAGAUCUGAAUAUGCGUAGGAAAAUUUUGAAUUUAUGCUACGUUACCCAACAUUUUUUCCUUCUGUUAUAUGUAGAGUAGGUUAACUAAUUUUAUGAUUGUCUACUUCUACAGGUAUUUGAGAAAAAAAGGAGAGACCGUUGAAAGAUUUUUGGCUAUUAAGCAUGUUCCAGACACAACAUUUGUUUCUUUGAAGAAGGCAUUGUUGGAGGUUUUUGCUAAACACGGUUUAGUUGUUGCAAGACUACGAGGGCAAGGUUAUGAUGGGGCAUCUAAUAUGAGAGGAGAAUUCAAUGGACUUCAGAAGUUAAUUCGAGAUGGGAACCCAUAUGCUUUCUAUAUCCACUGCUUUGCCCACCAACUGCACUUGGUAGUUGUUGCUGUUUCGAGAUGUUGCAAGGGUGUUGAGGAUUUUUUUGAAUAUGUGACCAUGAUUGCCAAUCUCAGUACUUCAUCUUUCAAGAGGAAGGAUGAAUCGCUUGACAAGCAAAAGGAAGUUCUUUUGGAUAAGAUUGAGAGAGGUGAGAUGACCACAGGAAGAGGGAGAAAUCAGGAAACAUCCUUAGUCAGACCUGGAGACACAAGAUGGGGAUCUCAUUACACAACCUUAUCUCGCAUUGAAUCAAUGUGGGAUGCAGUCAUAGAAUUUUUGGGCAUUGUUGAGGAUGAUGUGCGUGUUCCAUGUAGGGCAGGAGGUUUGGUUCAUCAAAUGGAAACUUUUAGCUUUGUGUUCAUCCCGAAGAUGAUGUUAAAAAUCCUUCGCAUCACAAAUGAUUUAUCUCUUCUAUUGCAAAAAAAAAGGAUCAAAAUGUUGUUCAGGUAUGUGAUGGAUCAUGUUAGAUGUAUGUAGUAUGGUUGAUAUAUUUAGUUCAUGUCAGCAUACAUGCAUCUAAAAUUGUAAUUAUCUCAUUUCAGGCAAUGUCAUUGGUUACGGAUGUGAGAACACGUUUGAUCAACUUGAGAAAUGAUGGUUGGCAGCCACUAUUGGAAGAUGUCAAAGCCUUUUGCACCAAAAACGACAUUCCAAUACCAAAUAUGGAUGACAUCUUUACAAAGUGGGGUAAAUCAAGAAAAGGUGGACGAAACAAUGUCACAGCUGAUCAUUUUUUCGUGUGGACACCUUCUAUGUUGUUAUAGACUCCAUCACCACAGAGUUUGAUCAUCGUUCUAAUGAGGUAUCUUCAUAGCUGCUCCAGAACUUCUCUUGUCUUGACCCAAGAAACUCCUUUUCUAGGUUCAACCUACAUAAGCUUGCUAGACUCACAGAGAUUUACCAUGAUGAUUUCUCUGAUUAUGAACGUGAACAUAUAGAAGAUAACCUUGAUCUAUUCAUUAUCCAUAUGAGAAGAAUUGAAGACUUUAGAUCUUGUCAUGAUAUUGCAAGCCUAGCUAAAAUGAUGGUUGAACUUGAAAGGCAUGUCAUGUUUCCUACUGUUUAUCGCCUCAUUGAGUUGGCAUUGUUACUACCGGUAGCGACGGCAACAGUUGAAAGGGCCUUCUUAUCAAUGAAAAUCAUCAAAACUGAGUUGCGCAGCAAGAUGACAGAUGGUUGGCUUAAUGAUUUGAUGGUUUGCUAUAUUGAGCGAGAGAUCUUCAAAAGUACUGAUCUUGGUAAAAUUAAGGCAGCUUUUCAGAGUGAGGGUAGGGCAUUGCCAUUACCUGGGUCUUCUAGACGUCAUUAAAAGCUUCAUUAUCGGUAUGUUUUAGGUUGUUUUUCUAUUGAAACAUGUCUACAUUUUUAUUGUAUUUGAUUUUCAUUUGUAAUGUGUAUUGACUCUUUCGAUUUGCAUUAAAAGAAUUCUUUCCUUAAGAUUUGGCCACACCUUAAAUUUUUUUCGUCCUCCGCCUCUGCCAUCAUGAGCGAGACAGAUGGAUUGGCUGCCCUAACCCUAGACAAUACAACCACGGUGGAAAAUGUGAGAAAAAACUGUUAGGAUUUAGUGUAGAGAUGGGGGAGUUUUCGGGUGGGGAGAGAAGAAAGAGGAGAAGGAGAGAAGGAAAGAGAUAAUGAGGAGGAUAAGGAAGAAGGAGAGGGAGGGAUCACUCAAAUCGGCCACCUAUCGGCCUCGUCAAGGCCGAAAGGCCUAUCGGCCACGCCUGGGCCUGCUCGCCACCCUCCAGGCCGAGUGGGUGGGAGCGACGUGGCCCGGCCAAUAGUCGGCUACCACAUGGCUGACUGGGGCUAACCGACCACACCAAGGCCAAUUGGGGGCACUCAGCUACGGCUAGGCCGCUGAAGCCAGUCGGCUUCGGUCAGGCCGAGACCGUUAUAUUUUUGAUUUUUUUUCAAACAACGCAAUAUUUUUCAAAAACAAUAAAAAAUGUAAUAUUAAAAAAAUAGCCUAAUUGGUAGACAUCUAACAUCAUUGUGUUUGUAGCGCGCGUAAAAACCUUUGAAAAGUACAAAUUUGAAACAUUUAUUGGAAUUCUGCUAGCCACAUCCAAUUGCUCCUCGUAUGCUGCGAGACACUAGAACUAACUGCCACUAGGUAGCUCUCAUGUUUAAGAACUUCCUCCAGCGUCGGGGUUGAAAUAUUUAUUGGAAUUCUGAACUUUGUUUAAAUUUUGUUUUUUAAUUCUAAAUAUACUUUACAUUUCAAGCAAUUUUCAAAUUCCAAACAUUUUUGAAAAAUAUGAACAUUUUGUUACCUCCUUUUUUAAAUGCAUUUUUUUGCAAACAUGGAAUAGUUUUACGAAUUCCAUUUUUUUUAAAAGGAAGCAUUUUUAAAUUCCAAAAUAGUUUGUGAAUACUUUAUUUUUUAAUGAAAAUAUGAACUUUUGCUGAAUUUGCAAACAAAUUUUGAAAACAGGGAAUAUCUUCUGAUUUUUCAUGUUUUUGAAAACCUGAACAAUUUACGAUUUUUGAUUUUUUUUAAAUGAGAACCUUGUUUCAAACAUUCAUUUUUCAAAAACCACUGAUAAAUUUAGAAAUUCACAAAUAGUUUGUGAAAACUCGAUCUUGAAUUUGUGAUCAAUUUUUUAAAGCAAGAACAUGUUUUGAAUAUUCAACACACUUUUCGAAAAUAUGAUUUUUAACACGUGAUUUUUUUAAUUUUGAACGUCUUUUUUAAAUGAGAUAAUUGUUUCAAACAUUUGAACCUUUUUUGAAAAACCAAGCACUUUUUUAAACUUGGAAACAAAUUUUGUAAUUUUCAAAUGGUGUUUGAGAAACACAAACUAUUUUUUGAGAACAAUUGAUGUUUUAAAUUAUGAUCAAAUUUUAAAAAGUUGAACAUUUGUCGAUAAGUGUGAAUUGAUUAAAAAGAAAAAGGAAAGAAUACUAAAUCAAUUAUUCGGAAUAAGAAACAUAAAAAAGANNNNNNNNNNNNNNNNNNNNNNNNNNNNNNNNNNNNNNNNNNNNNNNNNNNNNNNNNNNNNNNNNNNNNNNNNNNNNNNNAUAUUAAAAACCCAAAAAAUAUUUGGGAAUAAUGAAUCGUAGCCGAGCUACUUGGCCGGCCCAUCUACAGAAUGCUGACUGCUUGCUCCGUGCGAUGCAGCGGCAUAUAGGAAAACCGCUCCAAAAAAAAAGGAAAUUUCAAACUUCCUUAGGGGAAGGGUGAUUAAUCGAACAAUUCCGCUCGUUAGGAUUUGUUUAAGGGUGUCACUUGGCUUAAUCGACUAAAGUAGAUGUUUGAAUACAAAUAAAUUCCAGGGGAUUUAGCAGCCACAUAUGGCGCCCCGCCUCGUGACAAAACAACUUGUAAUAUAAACCUGGCCAAGCAUAAUUUAUACUAACAUAUAUUUAGGUUACUUAGCGUGUGCAGUCACACCGUUUAUUUAAUGGAUCCUCUGUUCCAUCAGAUAGAACACGGAAUUAUUUGAAGGGUCGAAACCAAGAAUAUUAUCUUGCUUUGCAACAAAUUGUUGCAUUGUGGGAAUCGUGGCGUUUGUAACAAGCAAACCAUCGAAAUUAAGGCAUGUAACAAUGAAGAAACACUUUCGGAGCAUGAACCAAAUCAUUUGGAAUAAUCAUAGUGUCGCCAAUAAUCCUCGCAUACUAGUGUUGCGUGUAACUCGUAGCCAACAAACUACAGAGACUAAGACUCUGCCAAUAACAAAUAUCGUGAUAAAGAAGGAAGCCAAAAGCCCAGAUCAAAAUUAACUAGUACAAUUCGAUGUAGUGAUCCACACCGUCCAUACAAAUCUCCAAAUACUAGGAUAGAAACAACCAUGAUCAACUAUGAGCAUCUCUGACCGAGUAGAUCAUCGUGGGAUUGCACGGUGUUCGCAAUAGGAGCUUGUGAUCAGAAGCACAUGUCCAGCAGACAGCAGCAGCAAAUGGCAGCACAACUGCAGAUGAAAACGGACAACGGAUUAGAAGAAACCAGAAUAGAAAGCGAUGGGAACAUGGCAUGAUGAUGCAUGCACGUAUAUCCUGACGAUCGAGUGGCUUAUAUAUCACGGCUCAUAAAACUCAAUGACGUACCAUCCUUUCCAGAAGCCGUCGCCGCCGCGGUCCUGCGAAUCCUGCGGCGGGGCCUGCUGCUGCUGGUAGUUGGCGGCGACNGCAGCAAAUAGCAGCACAACUGCAGAUGAAAACGGACCACGUACGUCAGAUUAGAAGAAAUCAAAACAGAAAGCAGUGGGUAAUCUUGACGAUCGAGUAGCCGUACCAUCCUUUCCAGAAGCCGUCGCCGCUGUCCUCCGGUUCCGGCGGCGGGGCCUGCUGCUGCUGGUACUGGUAGUCGGCGGCGACAGGCGGCGGAGCGCCGUACCCUGGAGGAGGUGGGUAGGCCUCCUGCCCCGGCGGCGGGUACGCGGUGCCCGGUGGCGGGUAGCUCAUGGCCGACGCCGCGGUCUGAGUUCACAGAGACAGUAGAACCGCUGAAGCAGGAAGCUGGCAAGGCAGACUUGCUGAUGCCACAAGCCGCUCUCUGCUCUCGACUUUGUGAUGUUCUUCUAAUGGAGCAUUGCUCUUUAUAGCGACACCAAGAGGCAUACGCUCGUAGCACUCCUACUACU
rnacentral:lncRNA from 1 species